rnacentral:rRNA from 1 species
UACAGAGGGGGCAAGCGUUGUUCGGAAUUACUGGGCGUAAAGUGUGCGCAGGCGGCCAUGCAAGUCGAGUGUGAAAGCCCCGGGCUUAACUUGGGAAUUGCGCUCGAAACUACGUGGCUGGAGUGUGGCAGAGGAAGGUGGAAUUCCACGUGUAGCGGUGAAAUGCGUAGAGAUGUGGAGGAACACCAAUGGCGAAGGCAGCCUUCUGGGCCAACACUGACGCUCAUGCACGAAAGCGUGGGGAGCAAACAGG